ensembl:lncRNA
GUGACACCCACAGGACCGAUAAGGAAUAUACUUUUUACUCAGCCCACCACACUGAAUACUCCAGGUUAGACUACUUUUUACUCAGCCCGCCACACUGAAUACUCCAGGUUAGACUACUUUAUACUCAGCCCGCCACACUGGAUACUCCAGGUUAGACUACUUUAUACUCAGCCCGCCACACUGGAUACUCCAGGUUAGACUACUUUAUACUCAGCCCGCCACACUGAAUACUCCAGGUUAGACUACUUUUUACUCAGCCCGCCACACUGAAUACUCCAGGUUAGACUACUUUUUACUCAGCCCGCCACACUGAAUACUCCAGGUUAGACUACUUUUUACUCAGCCCGCCACACUGAAUACUCCAGGUUAGACUACUUUUUACUCAGCCCGCCACACUGAAUACUCCAGGUUAGACUACUCAGCCCGCCACACUGAAUACUCCAGGUUAGACUACUUUUUACUCAGCCCGCCACACUGAAUACUCCAGGUUAGACUACUUUUUACUCAGCCCGCCACACUGAAUACUCCAGGUUAGACUACUUUUUACUCAGCCCGC